AAUUCGCUUUCCUAACUGCGCUUGUGCAUCCUUCAAGCAUGGCUGGUGGUGAUUGGACGACGGGUAGCAGGGGGCAGAGGGUACCGAUGUCUGGUUUUGAGCAGCAGUUGAAACCGCUACUGCAACCAACAAGAACUUGAGAACUGUAAAUAUCAAGUCUUGAAAGGGAUCAUGGUGCGGCCUGUAAGACAUAAGAAACCAGUCAAUUACUCACAGUUUGACAACUCUGACAGUGAUGAUGAUUUUGUUUCUGCAACUGUACCUUUAAACAAGAAAUCCAAAACAACACCUAAGGAGUUAAAACAAGAUAAACCAAAACGUAACUUGAACAAUCUCCAGAAAGAAGAAAUCCCAGUAUGAGAGAAAACCCCUAAAAAAAGGAUGGCUUUCGAUGACAAGCUCUCCCAGAGAGCUUUUGCACUAGCUUUAUCAGUGAAGGAACUCCAACAGUCACCACUAAUGUGCAGAAGUCUCAAGAUAAAAGUGCUGAAAAACAUGUCAACAGUAAAAUAGAAGCAAUGAAUAAGUCUCCUCAUAUCUCUAAUUGCAGUGUAGCCAGUGAUUAUUUAGAUUUGGAUAAGAUUACUGUGGAAGAUGAUGUUGGUGGUGUUCAAGGGAAAAGAAAAGCAGCAUCUAAAGCUGCAGUACAGCAGAGGAAGAUUCUUCUGGAAGGCAGUGAUUGUGAUAGUGCUAAUGAUACUGAACCAGACUUUGCAUCUGGUGGAGAUUCUGAGGAUGAUUCUGGUUUUGGUGAGAGCAAGGAUAAGGAUGAAGAAUUCUCUAUGAGAAAAAGUAAAGUUAAAGAAAUUAAAAAGAAAGAAGUGAAGGUAAAAUCCCCAGUAGAAAAGAAAGAGAAGAAAUCUAAAUCCAAAUGUAAUGCUUUGGUGACUUCGAUAGACUCUGCUCCAGCUGCUGUCAAAUCAGAAUCUCAUUCCUCACCAAAAAAGGAUUCUCUUUCUUCAGAUGUCACUAGGAAACCAUUACAAAUACGCAGUCCUUCAGCUGAAAAUAAGAGACCUAAAUGGGUCCCACCAGAUAUGGUAUAUUUAUCAUCAAGGGCAGUAGCUUGGAAAAUUAUCACUGCGGCAUCUGGAGGUAGCAGAAAUAGCAGCAGCCCACUGGCAGUAGUAUCUGUGAAGUCUCCAAAUCAGAGUCUCCAUCUUGGCUUGUCCAGAUUAGCACGAGUUAAACCUUUGCAUCCGAAUGCCACUAGCAGCUGAGUGUGGUACCAGAGGAAUGUUUGGUUGAGAGAAUCGCAGCUUUACAAGGGUGUUUAUAUUUAAUUUGUGUUUAUAUUUGAGGCAGGUAUUGUAAUAUAAAGGAAUCCAUUACCAUGUCCUAUAAAUGGUCUCUAGCUAUUUUAGGUUUAUGUUCUCUGUAAAGCUCUUCAAGCCUUCAGUGAGAGUUUUGUCUAUAAGAACUGUCUUCUCAUGCCUUUCCUUGUGAAGAGCAUAUUCUAUUUUUCUAUCAGUUCUACAUGAAGGAAGUCCACAUCACAUGCUGUUCUUUUCUAGUUACAUGAUGUGCCUUUCUGGCUUUAGCUAGUUUAUAGCACCUUAACUGUUCAGUUUUAUCUGGCAGAGGAAACAUUCUUAUUUUUCAGAAGACAUUUCUGAAAUCUUACAUGCUACUGAAGCUACCUUGUCAGUUUUAUUGCAAAGGUUUUUUGUAUUUUAGCCAAAUCUUUUUAUAGUAUGAAUUUGGAAAUAUUUUAUACACUAAAAUGGUUGUGGUUUUAUGGCAUGCAUCUCCUAUGUAGAUGGUUAUUCUAUAGCAAAUAGAAUUUAAAGACAUUUUAUUAAAUCUUCAUUGUCAAAACCUUUAAUAAAAGUGGAAACAUUUUGAAGUGCUCUUUUUCUUGAUGCCACUGCAUCCACCUGUUCCUGAUUGUCCACAUUUCAUGAUAAAAUGAGAGCUCUGCAGAGAAUGUUACCCUUUUUGUUGUAAAUAUGAACAAGGGAAAGCUGUUUCUUUAAGUAGUAACUUUUUGUUAAGUUCUUUUUUUUUUUUAAUUUUUUAUUGGAUUUUAGGUUUUGGGGUACAUGAGCAGAGCAUGCAAGACAGUUGCGUAGGAACACACAUGGCAGUGUGCUUUUCUUUCCUUCUCCCCUUCACCCACAUUUGGCAUUUCUCCCCAGGCUAUCCCUCCCCACCUCCCCCUCCCACUGGCCCUCCCCUUUUCCCCCCAAUAGACCCCAGUGUUUGGUACUCCCCUUUCUGUGUCCAUGUGUUCUCAUUUUUCAUCACCCGCCUAUGAGUGAGAAUAUGCGGUGUUUCAUUUUCUGUUCUUGUGUCAGUUUGCUGAGGAUGACGUUCUCCAGAUUCAUCCAUGUCCCUACAAACGACACAAACUCAUCAUUUCUGAUUGCUGCAUAAUAUUCCAUGGUGUAUAUGUGCCACAUUUUUCCAAUCCAGUCUAUUAUCAAUGGGCAUUUUGGUUGAUUCCAGGUCUUUGCUAUUGUAAACAGUGCUGCAAUGAACAUUCGUGUACAUGUGUCCUUAUAGUAGAACGAUUUAUAGUCUUUUGGUAUAUAUCCAAAAGACUAUAAAUAGAAAGCAGUUGUCAAGCACUUAGUCAUCCCUAUUGUGAUAUUAGAUAAUACAGCUUUUCAGGAAGCUUAGAUUUAAAUUUAUGUUAAAAAACAAUUUAUGUUGAAAAAUAAUUAAUAUUUCAUAUUCAUAAUGAAAAUUUCAACUAGCUGCUGAUCAAUUUUUAAUAAAAAAUUUCAAAUCAUGUUAACUUCAAAAAUAUAUAAUACUUAACUCAGUUUUUCUUGGUUUAUUGAAAUGUCCAUGUUAAUGUGAAAACAAUUAAUUUAGAAUUGUGAUUAAAGUGAGCAUUUGUCUACUGCUAUUGUAUACUUUUUUCUUAUCUAGUGUAUAUUUUUAUAGUGUCAUAUACCAGCCCCCUAACCUACCCCACCUGUCUUCUUUUUAAAAACAUAAUUUCCAGUUAUGUAGCACUGAGGUUCUCUAUUUGGUGCAGAUCAACAAUAAACAAGAGCCUACUCUGUAUUAGGUACUGAUAUAAUUGAUUAAUCAUCUGGCACUAGCUUAAUGACCUGUUUUGCUAUGUUAUUCAUAUUUAUAGUUUAUUUUUUUGAGGGGGGUGUUGAAAAUUGCCUUAAAGUACGUUAAAAUCAGCCUGGCUGAAGGCACUGAUACCUUCAUGUUGCCAAACCCAGUGUACAGUUUUCUCACCUAAUCUUAUACACCCUGUGCAUUAUACUCUGAUGAAAACAUUUCAUUUCCUUGGCUCACAUGAGCCAUUUCUUUGUCAAUUUUUUCCCAUCUCCAUGCCUACUCUUCAUUAUUUUGAAGCUUUCUAAUCUUUUGUGUCACCUGUACCUACUUGUCUUACCAGUUUCACGUUCUAUGCAAACUCCAGUGGUCACUUAUGCAACAGUGACUGCUACGUCAGGAUCUUUACCCUACACCUUGCUCUUGACACAAAACCUGUGGAUGGUCCACUGACAAUUUGAUGUACUGGAUCAGUCAUUGAAUUCAGGCAGAUCACGAGGUCAGGAGAUAAAAACCAUCCUGGCUAACAUGGUGAAACCCCGCCUCUACUAAAAAUACAAAAAAAUUGGCCGGGCUUGGUGGUGGGCACCUGUAGUCCCAGCUACUCAGGAGGCUGAGGCAGGAGAAUCGCUUGAAGCUGGGAGGCAGAAAUUGCAGUAAGCUGGGAUCACACCACUAUACUCCAGCCUGGGUGACACAGUGAGACUUCAUCCCCUCCCCCCCAAAAAAAUUCAACCUCUCCUACCCCUGACAUCAUCCCUACCAUGUUUUCUGUUGGUAAACGAAUGGCCCUGCGAUCACUGCAGGUGCCAAAGGUAAUCCUGGGAUUGAAACUUCUCUCGACCUUCACAUCCAGUCACCAAAUCUUACUCCAUUUCCUAAAUUUCUGAAAGCUAGCCUUCCAUGUGCGCUCCCUUACUCUGAAACACCAAUACUCACUGUUUCUAACAGGGGUCCUUGCCUUGAUUCCUAACCUACUCGGGCCUGCCUUCCAUUGUUACUGCCAUAGAGGGUUUUAUAAAGUAAAGUCAGCAUGAACACCCCUCUACAGUUCACACAUGUAAACCUUACCCUGGUCGAGUUCACAAGCUGCUUCGUGUCUGGCUGGCCCCUUCCUGCUGUUUAACCCUUGUCUGCCCAUGUACACCUUUGAUCCUUGCCCCACUAAACUGGGUGCUGCCACAAUGGUGCCAUGCUUUUCCAUGGCUCUGGCCUUCAGACUAGGACUUGCUUCCUUUAUGUAGCUAACUGCUACCCGUCCGUGAAGACUAAAACUCAACCCAGCUCUUUCAGAAUGUCUUUUCUGCCUGGACCAGACUGUGUGCUCCUCUCCAGGUCAACCUACUGUCAUUCAGUUAUAAAUUUCCCUUUUCAUGUCUUCCUACAACCUGGUGCAGAGUAAGCACUCAAAAAGUGUUCAGCUGAUGAAUGGAUUUAACCUGGAACUUUUGUGAUGCACUUUUUUUUUUCCUCAAAAAAACUUCUAAAUAGAGACGGGGGUGGUGGGCGGUGGGGGAGCGGUCUUACUACAUUGGUCAGGCUAAUCUUCAACUCCAGACCUCAAGUGACCUCCUGCCUGGAACUGCCGAAGCGCUGGGAUUGCAGGUGUAAAACCACCACGCAGGGCCAGAACUUUUGUGAUGCAAUUCUGAUAACCCCAUGCUUUGCUUGAAGAAGGGAAGAGUAGGGAUAAUUUCAAGUGUCUGGUCUGGGCAACCAACAUUAAGCUCUUUUUGCUGGGAUUUUGUUCAGUUUCCUGCCUGUAUUUUAAAGAACUGGGGCAGGAGAAUGCGAGUAGGAGGAUGAGAAAUAUGUUCUUUAGGCUGCUGCUCUGCAAGGUGGUUUGGAACUGGACCAUAGCCUGAGGAAGCCCUUUAAGCUCCGGAAUCACAAAAGGGCGGAAGCCGUUUCUAUAGCGACGGGAGAGGGCGUGGCCGUGUCGCGCGCUCUGCCGGGCGCUCCCAGCCUCCCGCAGAGGUUGGCGGUCAGCGCCGGCCUCUGGCAGCUCCUCUCACCAUCUACCCGCACCAGAAUAAAAGGACCGCGGAGGCUCUUAAUUCGCGAGCAUUCCGGCAAGACUACGAGCCAGCUAGGGUCCGCUACGCUCUUCUAGGACUCACAUGGAUGCUAAAAAGCCAAGGACAUGUGAUUUGACUUCAUCCACAGUUUUGAAAGAAAAGUUAAAGUAUGCUAAGGCCCUUGAGGAAUGGCCACACUGUCUUCCACAAUGGUUGAACUAAUUUACACUCCCAACAGUGUAAAAGUGUUCCUAUUUCUCCACAUCCUCUCCAGCAUCUGUUGUCUCCAGAUUUUUUAAUGACCGCCAUUCUAACUGUUGUGAGAUGGUAUCUCAAUGUAGUUUUGAUUUGCAUUUCUCUGAUGACCAGUGAUGAUGAGCAUUUUUUCACGUUUUUUGUCCUCAUGGAUGUCUUCUUUUGUAAAGUGUCUGUUCAUAUCCUUUGCCCACGAGAAGAAAGCUCAUGAAAACUGGCUUAAAGCUCAUGCGGCAGAAAGAGCUAUAGCCAAAGAGAAAAGGGAAGCUACCAACCUGAGACGCAGAUUACUGGAAUUACCACAAAAGAUGGCAACGCUGCAGGAAGAACCUGUGAUUGUAAAACCAAUGCUGGGAAGACCAAAUACACAAACCCUCCCCAGAGAGGUCCUCUAAGCCAGAUUGGCUUUUUUGGCCCAUCCCCUGUGAGCGGUGGAGAAAGCUUCCCUCCACUGACAGUGGAUCCACCUGGGAGACUGCUCUCUGCUACUGUCAGUCGAAGAGAUAUGCCCAGAAGUGAAUUUGGAUCUGUGGACGGACCUCUGACUCAUCCUCGAUGGUCAGCUGAGGCAUCUGGGAAAUCCUCUCCUGCUGAUCCAGGAUCUGGUACAGCUGCCAUGAUGAACAACAGCUCAAGAGGCUCUUCCCCUACCAGGAUGAUGGAUGAAAGCAAAGUUAAUAUGAUUCCAAAAGGGCCCCCUCCUUUCCCAGGAGUCCCUCUUAUGAGCACCCACAUGGGAGGCCCUGCACCACCACCCAUUCGAUAUGGACCACCACCUCAGCUCUGUGGACCUUGUGGACCUUUUUGGCCUCGGCCAAUUCCUCCACCCUUUGGCCCUGGUAUGCAUCCACCACUAGGCUUAAGAGAAUUUGCACCAGGAAGAUGGGACGUGCCACUCCACCCUUGGGAAUUUUUACCAGGAUAGGCACUAUUUAGAUGUUUAGGUCCUCUUGGCCCAAGAGAGUAACUUAUUCCUGGUACCCGAUUACCUCCCCCAACCCAUGUUCCCCAGGAUUACCCACCACCACCUGCCGCAAGAGACUUACUACCGCCAGGCUCUAGAGACGAGCCUCCUCCUGCCUCUCAGAGCACUAAUCAGGACUGUUCACCGGCUCUAAAGCAGGGCGCAUAACUAUGACCUCUGAUGUUUUAUUGGAGAAAAAAUGGACUGUGCAUUAUUCAUUACAGUAAAAGACUUUAUUGGCUUCAAAAUCCAAUUUAUUUUAAAAGAUCUGUUGUUAGAACUAAGCUGCCUUGGCAGUAUGCACUUUUGAGCCAAACAAUUCAGAAAUGUCAAUUCUUCCCUAAAUAAAAAUCACCUUUUAAGCUAAAAAAAAAAAAGGAGGCCUAUGGCCUCCUUUCUCUUGCACCCGCCCAGGUGCUCACAGCAGCACACACAGCCUCCGAUGACAACUUAUAUUUUCUUCCUAAUGCUUCCCCAUAAUUUGUACUUUUAAAAAUUGAAAGCUAACUGUGGAAUCAUUGCCUAGUGAUUGAUUUCAAGUAGAUGCAGACCUUAGUACCUGAGGGUGAGCUCAGGCCCCACGACAGCAGCUUACACUUGCCCUGCUCUAUUGCUUCAGAUUCCCCAAGGACUGAUAAGUUGGAGAGAUAUCCUAGUAUUUUCCAUUAAUGACAGGUGCCCACAGGAGCUAACAACUGUGGUGGUGCCUGACUUCAACUUUUUAACCCUUCUGAAAUAUUAGGAAAAUUUAGAUUCUAGGGGAUGGAAUAGACCCUUGUCAGUGUAAGAAGAAAGUGAGUCUUCUUCCUCUGCUACCUUUGAAGCACCUAGAGAAGUUCAGGAAUGUGGUCUCCUUUCAUGUGUCGUCUGAGGGAAAGCCAAGGUACAGGUUUCUCUUCUGUCAUUCACCCUCACUAUCAAGGAAGCAGUCACAAAACCAGAAGUGAACCUUUUUCAGAAGGUGGAGGGGCCUGAGCCAAGUUUCUGUAGAACAAAUGCCUGCAUGGCCUGGCAGGGUGGACCACAGGGUGUCAUCUACAGCCUCAUCCAGAGAGAGAGAGAGAGAGAGAGGAGAGAGAGAGAGACAGAGAGAGAUGGGGAGAGAGAGAAAGAGAGACGGAGAGAGACAAGAGAAAGAGGGAGGAUGAUGAUGGUGAUAGUUGGAUCAAUAGAUAUCAAUACAUGAUGGGCAGGAUGAAGACUCCAUUUGUUUCCAAAUGGAAACAAAUUGUUCAGUCUACUCCUUUUCAAUAAUUAUAUGGCUACUUCCUCUCAACUCAUCCAGGCCCUGCCCUGUCCUUAAAGUCCAAUUAAGCUUCAAAACCUUUCCUGGGACCUCCCACCCCAUAGGAAAUCUUUUUCUUUUUCAUGCUCUUAGAGCAUUAUAGAUGGUGCCACCCACUCUGACGCCUCAUCUUAUAGAGUACCAUCCUCCCCCAACCACAAGUGACAUCCAACAACUGUGAUUACACAGAACACGACCUGAGAGAAAGGAAGGAAAACACCCUCAGAAAGGUAGGAGAAUAUUUAUUCCAUUGUUCGUGCAACACCCAACCACCAAAACCGAGCUUAUUAACCUUGAGCUGAUCCAAAGUUAAGCUUGUUCAUAAAACAGUUCUCGUGUCCCUCCAAGUUAACCUUCAGUCUUAAUGGUCACACCCAUUUGGGUACAGGAGCAAUAAGAAAUAGACCAUGAGAACACACAGUCUCUGCAAGAUUUUAUCAUUGAGAGAAUUCCUGAGUUGAUAGCUCUAAAGGAAGAUGCUGUAUUUGCCUACUCUAACCCAUUUUUCAACCUGUUUUUUUUUGAGAUGGAGUUUCACUCUUGUUACCCAGGCUGGAGUGCAAUGGCACAAUCUCGGCUCACCACAACCUCUGCCUCCUGGGUUCAGGUAAUUCUCCUGCCUCAGACUCCUGAAUAGCUGGGAUUACAGGCAUGUGCCACCAUGCCCAGCUAAUUUUUUGUAUUUUUUUAAGUAGAGACGGGGUUUCACCAUGUUGACCAGGAUGCUCUCGAUCUCUUGACCUUGUGAUCCACCCGCGUUGGCCUCCCAAACUGCUGGGAUUACAGGCUUGAGCCACCGCACCCGGUCUAACCUGUUUGUUUUUUAAAAGGCUUCACUAAGGGUUGAUAUGUACCAUUGUAUGGGGCAAUUUUAAGUCAGCUAAGGCAAUAACCUUAUGCAUGAACAUUUCCCAGACUUUCAUGAAGCUGUUGAGGUCCUAGGCAAUUGAUGCAGCAGUUAUGAUAAAAACAUCUCACCUAAGUCUCCUUUUCUUCAUAGCAUAGAUACUAACAUGAUAGGAAGCUUAGGGAAAGAAAACUAGAGUAUAGAACAUGGAUUCAAAAGUGGCUGGAACAAAUUGGCUGACACUUUACUGGUGGUAACCUGCUCUUCCUCUGGUGUUACCCUUCAGGAUUGUUCCACUAAAGUUUAUUUUUCAAAAAAAAAUGCAGUGAGAAAUGACUGCCAGCGGUUUGGAAGGAAAAAACACCGACCAUCAGAAAAGGUGGAGGGAUAUUCAAGGAAGGGUGAGUUUGGCCCACACCAUCAAAAAGAGAUAAAAUUGUGUUCUGUGAAUUCUUUUUUUCAGAGGCAGAGGAGGGCAUCUUUUAAAAAUCUCUAUCAGAUGUGUUCAGAUAAAACGUUUCAGAACUCAAAGCCAACAAGACUCUACAAUGCAAGAAAGCCCAGGUGCUUGGGGCACCUCCCGUCCAAGCCAAGAUGAAUAAAACUCAGGGCACAUCCCCCUUCCUUGCUGUGCCACUGCUUGGCUAUUUCAGGACAUACCUCUUGGUUUCUCACUGUAAGCUCCAAAGAACAGGCCAUACCUUCUGUUUUAUUUCCCUCCUCUCAAUGCCCAGUCCCGUGUUGAGCACUUAGAAGGUGCCUCCAUGCUAGUUAAGUGAAUACAUGAGUGAAUGAACACAUCACACUUCUGAUUCUUCAUCUGAUGUUUUAUUUAGUCCCACUGCCUUGUGUUACUCUAGAGAACGACCAGGAAACAGAUUUCAAAAAAACUAAUUUUUGAAGUAGGUGUGGCCUUGUUACUAGACCACAGUUUCAAAAGCCCCACAGCCCUCAUCACCCCACCCUUCUCCUCACUCCCACCACAAUGAUAAGAAAUAAUCAGGUCUCGCCUAUCACAGUCAGUCAUACUCCAGACUGACCCUACAAAUAGAAGUCCCCAACAAGACGGUCCAGGAGACUGAUUCUCUCUAAAACACUUCCCAAUUUCUUCAUGACCUGGACCUUGUGGCCCAGCUCUUGAGGGGCUCUCCUCUCUCCACCACCCACUAAGCAGACAGACUGGAAGCCCAGUGCCUGCAUAGCUCACAGGCUUGCCGCACGCAUAGAUGCUCACAUCCAAAGCCGUAAGUGUAGCCUCAGACUCUUUGACAGGUAGACAGGAGAAAGAAUACAAGAGGCUGCUGUGGAGGUUCCCAGGGAAGGCAUCCUUCCACUGACGAUUCUGAUUUAGCCCAAGCUGAAGAGAACUCUGCCUGAGAAAGCUUUUUCGCAAAGACUCAUCCAGUCUGCCUUGUCUCAUGACCUUUCUGCAGAACAAUGAGCAAAACUCCUAUCCCAAGAGAGGGAGAUGGGAGAGGGAGAGGGAACACAGGUGCGCUAAUGAGCCAGGGAUGCCGCUCUUGUUGAAAAUCCUAGAGCACCUGUGGGCCUUCCCGACAGACGCAAACCACCUCGCGGGCACUUCCCUGGUUCACUAUUUAUAUACCUGUCAAUAGCAAAGGCUAAUUCAAACAGAAAAUCAGAUUCCUUGAAAGAAAUGGUCUGCCCGAGACCAGCAGACUCAGGCUCCCCGUACCCAACAAGCCCACAUAUCUGGUAUCCUACAUAGGUGAGCGUUCAUCCUGUUUUAAAGAUCUCUGGGGAAAGGUACUCUCAUAGUUCCAGAAACAUCCUGACUCCUAGCAAGAAGUGCUGAUGUGCAUCUGGCCUAAACCACUCCUGCUUAGAGCUGGGGCUCCCUUCAGAGUGCUCGGUGCCCAGCAGGGCUGGAAAACAUCUGGGUCUCUGCUCUGGAGACUCGGUGUUCGGAGGGAAAAUGAAGAUAUUUUUAUUAUCAGUCUUAGGAUCUGUUACUCAAAUGAGAUCGUCCUGCUAUAAACAUGUCCAGAUCUUAAAGAUUUGGCUCAGCAAUGGGGCCAGGACAGCCCCAACUCCUGCUCCCCAAGAAGGCUGUCUCCCCAGUCAGUGCCCCUCAGGGCAGACUGAAGACACCCGGUGCCUUCAGCAACCAUCACCACUGUCCAAGGCACCAUCUUCUUUGGGAAGGUAUCUAAUCUGGUCAAUCACAAAUUCUUUUUUCAGUAUUUCCUAGAGAAAAACAAGUCCCCAAGGAAAAAAAUCACUCUAUGUAGAGAAAGAAUAUUUCUCUCAUGUUCUUACACCCAAAGCAUUUAAUGUUCCACAAUAAAUAGAUAUUGCUUCCCCCCCAAAAAAAAAUUCUGCUCAGUCUCCAGCCCAACCCCAUUUCUUAGCAAGUUAUAAGAAAGCCAACUUCGAAAGCUCUGACAUGGAAAAGGGUGUCUAAAAAGAAAAUCUGAAGCACAGAAUUCCUGACUCCUCAGCCCCAUCAUUCUCCGCAUACAUCAUACACCCACAGGAUGUAGAAGAGAGUGGGCAUGAUAAACAAGAGUGUUCUGGGACACUAGGCGGCCCUCCCCCUCCCUCCCCAAGAAUUAGCAACCUAGGCACCCCCCCAACCCUCACUCCCACCACCCCACAGUACUGGAAGGGAGGCCCUGCUCAGGCCCUUUCAGCACAAGAACUAGGAGCUAUCUGCAGAGGCCUUGUAAUCUGCCCCCACUUCUGUUGCAGACCAAAGUGGUGAAUACCCCACUGACAUCUAACAUCUCAGGGUGGUAGCAUUCUCCAGACAUACGGACGCUGCAGGCAGAGGGCUGGCGAGCCAGCCUGACCGGGAUCCCAAGGCAGAAGCAAUCCCCAGAGCUCCCACUGACUAAAAACAUGCACUCACUUGUGAAAGAUGGAAAGUGAUGUCCUGAGACUCUCUGACCUGCCUGAAAACUGAUUUAAAAACAAAACCUAAAACCAGUCUGGUGGUAAAAGUCAGUCCUUAUCCGACAGGCCCUGGGGCAAGGUCCACAAUUCUCCCAGCCAGACAGAAUAAGAAAUCGUGCAUUUCCUGUGGGACUUUGCUCUGCCCUUCCCCUCCCAAAUUUCCUCUGCCUCCUGCCCACAAUGUCCUCACCUCUUUCAUGAGCACCACCACUCCAGGACCUCCAUGCCAACCCAAGAUGCUUCACAGCCACUGCAUCUGGUUUGCACCAGGUGAGAUGAGGACCCAGCCUCCUCAUGUUAGAUUUCCCUUCUUUUAGCGGCCAGGCAGUCAGCCACAAGAUACAUGAUGAGAGUUGCCUGUCUGCUAAUUCUACAGGGCACCACGCUGCUGGAAGCCUGUCCUCAGGGAGCCUCUCAGUGUGAGGGUGGGCUGGAUGACAGUUCCUGAGAAGAGCAGAAAGACAAUUUGAAUGCCACCUGAAUGUGAAUUCCAUGUUUGUUUGUCCAUCCAGAAAAUGUUAACUGACAGCCUGAUAUGUUAGGUCCUAUGCUAGGUACUGAUGAUAUAAAGAUAAAUAAGACGUAAUUCCUACCCUUGAGGAGAUUCCUUGCAGAGGGAAGCGCACUUGAGAGGGAAGAUAAUUGCAAGAUGAGAAAGUGAGCGCCUUACGGGGCCGUGCAGACUACUUUGGAACCUUUAGGAGCAGCAGUUCAUCCAGCAGGUCAUUCCUGAAGGGGAACAUCAAUGAUUGUGAGGAAUUAGUCAAGCAGUUCCUCACAACCAAGGGCUGUAUAGUGUUAGCUGGUGGAGAUGAGGCAUGGCCUCCCUGGGGAGGACAAGCCCCUCAGGAUGGCUGGAGCAGAGAGCAUUGGGUGAAAAGCUGGCAGGAAGAGACAGGUGGGGAACAGAAACCACGGGUCCCUGGGGAGGACAAGCCCCUCAGGAUGGCUGGAGCAGAGAGCGUUGGGUGAAAAGCUGGCAGGAAGAGACAGGUGGGGAACAGAAACCACAGGUCCCACAUGCUGGGUGCCUGCAACAAGCGGGGCACCCUGCUAGAGAGAAAAAUGGCAAAAGCAAGAAUAAAGGUGCAAAAGCGCUCAUUUUAUCCUUGCUACACUCGUGAAGCAGGUGUGGUGCCCCCAUUAUAUACAAAAAACACGGAAGCUUAUAUAGGUUAAGUAACUUACUCAAAGUCACACAGCAAAAACAAAUUACAGCCAUCAAAGCUCACUGUAUCAGUCCUGUGCUAGAAAAUACAGUCACUUGGACUUCCCAAAGAACUCCGAAGUGGGCAUUAUCCUAGGCUUACAGUUGAGGAAAAGGAGCAUCUGCCAGGAUCUGAACCUGGGCCUAACUGAGCCCCUCUCUCCAAGUGCAAGCCCUUUACCUUGUGACAUGAAGGGCCUUGGAUGCCCCACUAAGGAGUUUGGACUCUCACUAAGGAUAAGGCCAUGGGGUUACCUUGAAGAAUCUCAAAUGGGAGGAGGGACAGACAUGACCCAAUCUGCAUUUGUAGAAGCUCAUCCAGGCAGCUCUGUGGAGAAGGACUGGAGGAAUCCACACACCCAGGCAGGGAUUGUUGAGUGGCCAUUGUGUUAACCCCCGCAAGUGUUGGCAGGGUCUGGAGUGGGUGGGAGCAGUGAAGAUGAAGAGAAGGGUGACCUCCACAGAGAGUGAGAAGGUGGGUCAACAGGAUGAUGACACAAAAAUGGGAUGUGGGCCUCAAGGAGAAGGAACCGCCCAGGACGAGAAGGAGCAGCUAAGAAAGUACCCAGCUAAACUGAGGUGGGGCUGGGGCUCCUGUGAUGAUAGAUUUGGCCAACUGAGUGGUUACAGACAAUAUUUAUCAAAUAGAGAAUAAAGGAGCAGAAUGAAAGAGAGGCUCUGGGGGUGAGAGAAAGAACUUUGCUGUGGGAGUGGCCAAGAGGAGAUGCCCAGGUGACAGGUGGCUGUGCAGACUUGGUUCUUAGGAAACAGGAUCCCACUGGGGAGAUGAUAGCAAUACAGGGGUCGUUGAAUCUUUGAAGACAAUCAGUUCACCCAAAGACAAAGUAUUGAUUGGAAAUUGGAAAGAGAACAAGACUCUGGACAAUCCCAAUCUUUAAGUGAGGUGGGCAGAGGUGGAGGUUCUUAGGAAGGAGACUGAAGAAGACCUAGAAAGGCAGAGGAGAACCAGAGGCAGCACCAUCAGGGAAGCAGAGACAGGAGAGCCUGCGGGGUGAUACCCAUGGAGAAGCCUGGAGGUCCGUGAGGCCUGAGAAGCCAUGUCCAUUGGGCUUUAUGAUCCAAAGGUCAGCAGGGACUUCAGCCCAAGGGGUUGCAUGGAAUGUUCUUGGGGGAUUGGGGGCUGCGAAAGUCAGAUUGUGAGGGUUGAGAAGUGAGGGAGGGGGACACAAAGUCAGUGAGUGCCUGCAGGUGAUACUUCAUGCACUUUCUACUGUACACAGAAGUGGUGAUGAGGCCACAGUGUUCAUAGGGACAAAGGGCUGAGAGGGGGUCUUGUUAUAAUUCCAUUGAAAGAGUCUGGGGCAUGUUUGAAUGCCUGUAGGAAAGAACUGGAGGCUGCUGGGUGGGAGGAGGUGGUGGAGGAGAUUUAAAAUGUGAGAACUGGUUGGUUUGGGCACCACUGGUAGAAUGCCCCUCAUAUUGGAUGUUCAUCCUUCCCAGUGAUUCCUCAAGACGUGACCUCUGGAACACAGCCCUGGCUGCCAGGCGUUUUAGCCUGGCCCAAGCUCCAUGGCCUCUCUAGCACCCUGGGUGGUAAAGACAUGGAGCUUUGGGCUUCCCAUUUAUCUCCCUCUCUCCACCACAGCCAAGCAGCUAAGUGUCCUGAGCCUAUCCACACAUUUGGCAUGUGGGGACUGAGAUGCUCCAACCCUUCUAUCCCCUUGAGCCAGCCUAAUAAUUACAGCCCUCAGAGCUCAUUGUAUCAGGCCCUAUGCUAGAAAAUACAGUCACUUCGACUUCUCAAUGAACUUCAAAAUGGGCAUUAUCCUAGCCUUACAGUUGAGGAAAAGGAGGCUCAGAGAAGUUAAGUAACUCAUCCCGAUGUCAUGCAGUUUGCAAGUGGCAGAGCCUGGAUUCAAAGUGAAGCCUUUCUUAUACCAAAGCCAAGCAUCUUUACCCACUCCUGUCCUGCCUCCAGUGAAAGGAUGCUGGCAAAUUCAUGUUUCAUUUAUUCAUCCAUCAAUUUAUUAAUUUAUCAAACACUCAAGCAUUAACUAUACUCCACAUAUGACUUGGAAAUUUAGAAAGAUCAAGUUUAGCACAGCAAGGAAAAGGAGGAGGACAGCCAGAAUGUCUAGCAAACAGAGGCCCUGGGAAGCAGUUUCACAGGACAAUCUGGGGAUCAACUCCUGUAGCCAGAAUGAACACCAUACACCUUUCUGAUCACCUUUCCUUGUUCUCUUUUAUAGAAACACAAAGAGGAAAAGACAGAGAGAGGGAAUGAGACAGUACCUUCCAAGCUCGACAUUGGCUGCAACCUGAUGGGGCGAUCUGACUCAAGAAACAGUAGGAUGGGCUUUGAUGCCUCACCCAUGCACACUUUAGAAGCCUUCGGGAUCUUUUCAAAGCACUGCCCUAACCUGUCCCCCAAGAGCUUCAUGACUUCUGUUGCUGGGAAAAAGGUUCAGACAGGCCAAGUCUCAGGAGACCCACUCUUCCCUCAUUCAGCAUUGCCCUACCCUCACCCGCCCCCCACCUUACCUGUAAGCAGGGAACGUUGCCAGCAUUUUUUCACUGGAGGCAGGACCACGUAAGCAGGGAAAGCCCCUCUACAGGGAAAAGAAGGCCAUCCUUGGUAAGCGCGCCAUCCCAGCUGAGUUGAUUCCACCAGAGAUGGGUGGCAGCCUCCAGUAUAGUUGUGUCUCGGCAGCCCAGCAUGGAAGCAGGUACUUACAUGGGCCAUGGUGACCAACUGGGCUCAUUAAAUUCUCUCAAUAAAUGUGAAUGUGAGAGAAAAGGCAGAUGCUAGUGUGACUAGAGGCUAAAAGCCACACAGAGCAGAGCCACAAACAAGCAGAAGCCGGGGUGAGCAGAUGUCCCACACUGGUGGAGGAAGCCCAGGGGUUGGGGGUCUCAGGGCCAAGUGGGGUGUCUGAGGGGGCAUUGUGCUGGGAAGAUGGUAAGGUAACCAGAUCCCUGGAGCACUCAAGACCCAGAGACCUUGUCCAGGCUCUGGAAACGAGUCUACCAUCAUUGUUUAUAGAACCCUGAGGACUGGUGACCUCCCAGUUUCCAGAAAUAUCAUUACCAUAAAUCCCAUUGCUGAAGGCAACCCGGGAGGGUCUCUGUGGUCCUCAGGGAGUCUGACUGACACUUAGGCUCUAAGCAUCUGGGGUUUGCAGAGAGAGCUGGGGAGAGCUGGGAGCAGAGAGAGCCACGAUGCUGCCACUCUUGACUGUUUUCACUCCACCCUGCUCUUCUCAUUCCUGCCACAGUGACAGACUGCACCAGCCCAGAAGGAAGCCUUGGGUCAAGGAUGUGGGUUCAGUCCAAUCUCUUAAAGUGCAAACAUUGAGACAGUCACCUCCAUCACUACCACUUGCUGUUCAGUGAAGAAACCACCACACCUUCUGCUCCUCUGAGCCCUGCCUCACUUGGUUCCAGGCCCCUAGAGCUUAAGACAUGGGUCACCAUCUCUUCGUUUUCAACCCUCAGUUUCUGCCCAGGGUGGCCUGAUGGAAAGCCCCACUGUCAGAGUAGGAGUCGUCCCAUUAUGCCUGUCUUUUGCAGGAGCAGGUUUGAAUUGUCAUCUUUAAAAAUUCCAAAAUAUUUAUUUUACAAAGCAGGCCCUGUGUUCUGAAGUUUUAUCUCAAAAACAAGGUCUCUGUGCAAAUCAGAUACAGCAAACAUCUCCUCCUGGCUGAUGGGAAUGCCUGCUGCAUUUUUCCCAGCCACAUCUUCAGUCUUACUUAAUUUUUUUCUUGUCUUCCAGGUAAGAAUCAUUAAGAUACACGCUUACAGUAGUGCGCCUGCUUAUCCACGAUAUCUAGCCAAGAGAAGGCCCAGCUUCCUAAACCCUACUGGGACUCACCAGCCACCAGCUCACAUCUAUAGUAAGCUCUUUCAAAGGCCUUCUUUACUGCUGGACAUUCUUCCUUUGUGCAACAAGUCAAUAAACCCAACUUGGUUCAGCCACAGGUGAGUUCUUGAUGGUUUUUAACUUAGGAGGAUUGGCAGAAAUAGAGGUUCACUGAGUCAGUCAAAGCCCUUCCUCCUUGGACAAGAGCCCCCACUUUAGUUAUGGCAGACACAGCUGAGACACACAGGGCAUCUCUCUGAUUCACCAGGUGGCCCACAGAUGGGAGGCAGCUCAUAGUCUGAAUGGAGUCUGACAUUGAGGCCCCUCUGCUUCAGGUUUGCUCUGUUCUAGGAAUGAGGUGCUGUGCGACUUUUCCUGGUGAUCCGAUCAGCUUAAGGACAGACUUCCCAGGUCCCUGUUGACUGUGCAUUUUUCCACUUAGAGGCAACACUUAUGGCAUUCAACAGCAGAUGGGCAUAGGAGCGUUGCUCGAAAGGCUAGACAGCAGUUUCACCAAGGAGUGGUGCAAAUCUGAUCGGAUCACCGGACUUAAACCAAGAUUGGCAGAGCUUGGCACACUGCAGCAUCCCAUCGUUCUCCACAGCAGGCGCAGGGAGGGUUCAUCCUUCAGGUCACUACAGCAUGUUACAGUGUUCUGCAUCAGUGCCCUUCCUCUUAGGAAGAAACAUCUCUGGGCUGAAUGGCUAGCUCCCCUCCUUCAGCUACAUAGAAUUUCCCUUUGGGCAUUUUUUAUCGCAUUUUAGGUUUUGGGGUACAUGUGAAGAACAUGCAAGAUUGUUGCAUAGGUACACACGUGGCAGUGUAAUUUGCUGCCUUCCUCCCCUUCACCUAUAUCUGGCGUUUCUCCCCAUGCUAUCUCUCCCCAACUCCCCACCCCCCGCUGUCCAGUGUUGACUAUAUUUCUUAGGUGUGAGGCUAUCUCAGUUACGGAGAUAAAUUAGGAAAAUAUCAACUCUCCUGUGUAUGUGUGCAGAGUUCUCCAUGCAAAAUAAAGUGUGAGAAGCAGCAAAUGCUAUUAGCAGGAAGGCAAGCCAAAACUGCUAUGCCCUUUUAAAUGUCCUCAAGUCAUCCUCAGACCCACCCAUGUAAUUAUCUCCUAAGUUCACCCUCAAAAAUGAGAUUCUAAAUUUCAGGGUCUGUUUACAGCCAGGUGAUCAUGUUACUUCCCUGCUCAAUAAGCCUCAGUGACUCUGUAUGCCUUCAAAAUAAAGUUACAAAUCCCUAACCCAUCCAGGGCUGCUUGUCAUCUGGUUCAAAUCUACUUACAGUAGAAUUGCCCACUGUUUCCUUUCCAGGCACUCAGCCUCCCUUCAGCUGAUCAGAUUUCCUAGAAAUUACUGCUCCUCCUUCUAAACCCCACAAACAAAAGUUCCAGGAAAAGGCAUUUGGAGGAAAGAGAUUUUAUUCCAGUGGACAGUUUGCACACCUGGGAAACCCAGCCUUUAGUGUAAAACGUAGGUGUGUUCAGAGAACAGCAAGAGGAGUUGGGUUUGUUUAUUUAUUUGUCUGUCUGUUUGUUGUGAGAUGGAGUUUCGCUCUUGUUAUGCAGGCUGGUGCAAUGACGCAAUCUGGGCUCACCGCAACAAUCUGGGCUCACUGUGUUCAAGUGAUUCUCUGGCCUCAGCCUCCCGAGUAGCUGGGAUUACAGGCAUGCACCACCACAGCUAGCUAAUUUUUAUUUUUAAUAGAGACAGGGUUUCUCCAUGUUGAUCGGGCUGGUCUCCAACUCCCCGCCUCAGAUGAUCCAUCCACCUCGGUCUCCCAAAGUGCUGGGAUUACAGGCAUUAGCAGGAGUCAGGUUUUAUAGCAAACUUUCCUUCCCAGGUUUUCCAUGAAGUCUAUUUGUGCAAAUGAAAGAUUGAAACUUGCUUAGUUCUGACUGGCUGAUACAGUUGAGCCCUGAUUGUCCAGGGCAGAUGAAAGCUGAUUGGUCAGUAUCCAAGCUCCAAACUAGAAGUCUGUCAGAUGUUUCUUUUAGGGGAAGAGGCUGCAGAUACCACGGUAUUGAUCCUUUCCCUUAAAGGCAGGGAUUUAUUUUUGUUAGCCCCAUCUAGCAGACAGCCUGGCAUAUGAUAGAUCUUAAUAAAUAUUGAGUAAAUGAAUGCAUGUGUACUUGGAAAAAUUAAAUUUACCCUCCCCCAUUCCAUGCCUGAAAAUACUGCUGAGGAGAAAACAAGUAAUGUCUUGAGAUUUUCUCAACAGAAUAUAAACAUAAAGCUUAAAUUAAACAGCAAGUUGAAGUGUGACACUGCUCUAUUUUCAGGUUUUUCAGCACAUUAGGAGUUGAGGUGAAGGUACUGACUGUCUUUGUGGUUUGUGUACAAUUUUUUUUUUUUACUGGGAUUCAUAACUGGGGAAACAAAAGCAUCUCUUUACCUGUAUAACUUUGUUCCUUCCUUUAUUGCUUUAAAUAGGCAAGAUGUGGUUUGUUUUUCUUUCACUGCUAAUGUUUGCUUGUGCUCCUCAACAAAAAUAACUUGCCAUUCUUAUUGCUCUCAAAGGUUGCUAAAGGUCCCCUCCCCACUUACUCAUUCCACUCACUUGUAACCAAGAUCCUCAGUGCUGCUAACGGAGACUCCCUCAGCCCUAUAUCUUCUGUGCCUAGAGCAGUAGAUGGCAGGUCCAGUCAUGUUAAACAUUAGGUAAUAUCAGUAUCCUUUCACUUUACUAUGAGAAUCCUCAAGACAGAAUCAUUAUCCUCUGCUUAUGCUUGCUGUAGACAAGAAUGUGCACCAGCCCUCCCAGGAGUAUAAAGAUCAUCACCACCACCAUUGUAAGAUGACAGCUUUUCACAGUUUACUUAUCUUCAUCCUGGUUAUUCUCCCUCUUAGUCAUUGGGAGUCUUGUGGCCAGGUGCAGUGGUUCAUGCCUGUAAUUCUAGUGCUUUGAGAGGCUGAGGCAGGAGGAUUGCUUGAGAGGAGUUGGAGGCUACAGUGAGCUACGAUCUCACCACCACUGCACUCCAGCCUGGGUGACAGAGCAAAGGCCAGUCUCUGAAAUGAAUCAUUGUAAAAGAGUCCUGCAAGAUGGGUAUGAAUCUUUCUAGAGCACAGCUGAAAAGUUAAAUGGUUUGUCCCAGAGUACACAACUCAGCAGAGCCUAGAGUAAAAUUUAAAUCCAGUGCUUUUCCAUCUAGGCUGCAGUGAACCAUCACUAGAGUUUUAUCAAAGUCCAACUUCCUGGCAAUAGGGAGAAAAAGCAAUUAUAGCUUUUCUUGAUAUUUAACCUAGCUAACAGCUUCAGCUCAGAGAAAAUCUUCCAAAAGUCCAAGACAGGUCUGGAUGUGUAUACUGUCACCCAUCAACCAUAAACUUUGAUCCAGUUAUGAUUUGGGUAUUUGUCUCCACCCUCCCAGAUGCCUCUGAUCCCACCGUAACCAAACCCCAAAUCCUAGGGCCUUUCUUCUCCCAAUUUCACAGUUUCUAUACAUAUUUUCUAGGCACUUCCACCACUCACCACCCUCCAAAAGGGACUGGGCCCUGAGCUUUUCCACUGAUUAAUGCUUUCUAUGUAAUACACCUGCAGUUAUGCUACAGCAUCUCUGGGCAAAGGAAUAGCCAGGUCUGUCUAACACAUACUUGGGUGUGACUCUAACUGGCCUCUACCACUUUUAGCCUAAAGUGACAGUGCUUUUUAAUGUUGGUUGCAGGCAGGGAACUGCUGCCCUCUCCCAAGCACUUCAGUUUCCUUGCACGGCCUCUCCUUGGCUUCUGUCUGUCCCUGCUAGAGAAUCCUUCCCAACAAUAAGAGAAGGCAGAAAAGAGGGGUCCUGAUGGAAAAAGUAAAGAGCUUUCAUUGGAGGAAGGUGAGUCAGGGCUGGAGAGACAGUAAAAUGACAGCAAUCACAUCCCACUCCUUCUUUUGAGCUAUUGAUUCAUUUUUAAAAACUGCCUGCUAUUGCCACAUGUAGCUAUAAUAAUGCUACAGUGGACACUAUCACCUCUAGUUUAACAAUGAGUAGCCAGUCAAAGUUAUUUCUGUAAACCAGUAAGAAUUCUUGACAAACAACCCUGUCCCAGCCCACUCUCUGUCCCCUUCUUUUGCCUUUAAAACCCUUCUUGUGGGGUAUAUCUACCACAUUGUCUUUAUCCAAUCUGUCGUUUAAGGGCAUUUGGUUGAUUCCAUGUCUUUGCUGUUGUGAAUAGUGACGCAAUGAACAUUCACAGCAUAAAAAGGAAUGAGAGCAUGUCUUUGCAGGAACAUGGAUGGAGCUGGAGGCUUAGCAAACCAACACAAGAACAGAAAACCAAAUACCAUGCAUUCUUGCUUAUAAGUGGGCGCUAAAUGAUGAGAAAAUGUGGACACAAAGAGGGGAACAACGCACACUGGGGCCUAUGAGAGGAUGGAGGCUGGGAGGAAGGAGAGGAGAAAAGAGAAACUUUUGGGUACUAGGCUUAGUACCUGGGUCAUGAAAUCAUCUUUACAAUAAACCCUGGUGACAUGAGUUUAUAUGUAUAACCUAUACAUGUACUCCUGAACCUAAAUACAAAUGGUUUUGUUUUGUUUUUGUUGUUGUUCUAUUUUUUUUAAAAAAACUUCUUGUCGCAAAGGCUGUAGGAAGCUCAGAGCCAAGGGCCCCUGGGUCUGAGUCUUCCAGGCAGCUGUCCUCACUUUGGUUUAAGUAAACUCUUUAAAUUACACUUUGUGUCUCAGCCUCUUGCUUUAAGGUUGACACUGUGCAGAUUAAAUAAAUGAAUGGCCCCUGUUUCUUCUCUGUCUGAAGCUUGGGCUCCUCAUGAGAGGACUUCCUACUCCAAGAUAGAAGGGAGUCUUGCUCAGAAGAAGGAGUUCCUGUCUGCUGAAGACACAAUUCUGUCCAAUGAGGUCAGGAGGGCUGUUGGGAACUUCCGUUAAUCCCACUGGGGCAGGAAAGUGGCAAAUGGCAGUUAUCUGAGCUGAGGAUGCUGGGAAGGGUUUUUACAUGGGCAGUUGGGCCUUACAUCAUCAACUGACCCAACUUAAGUGCCCAAGGAAAUGGAACAGCAGGGAGAGGAUCAUCACACACACCACCAAAACCCCCAUUAGUCUCUGGCUUCAACAUCCUUUUCCAAAACCUCAGGCCAGCGCAUAGCCUCACUUUUCCAUCUCUUCUCCAUUGCUCCAUAGGAGAGCCUCCUUGGUACAGGAAUAGCUGAGAUGUGGGAAAGAUCAAGGGUUGUAAAAGCUGCCACAGAUAAUCUACAGAAAGCUUUGCUGGAAUUAGAUUGUGCAUCUCUGAACCUGAGCUAGAUUUGUUGGGUCAGGGACGAUACUUGCUGACUGGUCCCAGAAUUGACAGAGGCGGUGUCUAAGAAAUGCUUGUUGGAUGAAUAAACAAACAGCUGAGUGAGUGUUUAUGUGCGCCUGACAACUGCCUGUACCAGCACAAAAGUAAAAACCCAACACCCUCAGGCCACACCUACUGGAAAAGUACAAAAUCAUAGGAUUUUGUUCAAUUCUUGUCCUGUACGUUAAAGAACUGGGGCAGGAGAAUGCGAGUAGGAGGAUGAGAAAUAUGUUCUUUAGGCUGCUGCUCUGCAAGGUGGUUUGGAACUGGACCAUAGCCUGAGGAAGCCCUUUAAGCUCCGGAAUCACAAAAGGGCGGAAGCCGUUUCUAUAGCGACGGGAGAGGGCGUGGCCGUGUCGCGCGCUCUGCCGGGCGCUCCCAGCCUCCCACAGAGGUUGGCGGUCAGCGCCGGCCUCUGGCAGCUCCUCUCACCAUCUACCCGCACCAGAAUAAAAGGACCGCGGAGGCUCUUAAUUCGCGAGCAUUCCGGCAAGACUACGAGCCAGCUAGGGUCCGCUACGCUCUUCUAGGACUCAAAUGGAUGCUAAAAAGCCAAGGACAUGUGAUUUGACUUCAUCCAUGGUUUUGAAAGAAAAGUUAAAGUAUGCUAAUAAUCUUGCUCUAUCACCAGGCUGGAGUGCAAUGGUGUGAUCUCGGCUCACUACAAUCUCCACCUCCUGGGUUCAAGCAAUUCUUCCUGCCAAAGCCUCCCAAGUAGCUGGGACUAAAGCUUGAAGGUAAACUUUUGUUUCAAGUCCAGAAGCUGCCUUCCAAUAUCAAGCACUCCAGAAUGACCCAAGACCUUCAUAAGAACACCAGGGUUACUUCACUCCCCAUUGUGGACACUAAGGGGAAGAAGAAUAUGGUAAGCUUCCCACACAUUAGCAGCCAAGUCCUGCUGAAGUCAUCCCUGCUGUAUCAGGCUGUUGGAGAAACAGCAGUGAGAGAAGCAUUUCCAGAAGCCAUUAUCAUAAAGCCAUAGGACAUCUUUGGAAGAGAGGAAACAUUCCUUAAUCAUUUUUCAAGUCUCAGAUGUAUCCAAAGGAAUUAUUAAUGCAGUUAAGGACCCUGAUGCCAGAGGGAAGACCUUUACUUCUGUUGGUGCAAAAAGCUCUGAUUUCCAUGUCAACUAGGAGCUGCAAAAUGUAUGUCUUCCUUUCAGUUCCCAGUUUGGCACAUUAGCAUGCAAUCAGUUAUAUAGUCUAGGCCAAAUCAGUACCUCCUCUUUGAGCUGGUGAAGUACAUCUAUGCUGUGACUCACAGAUUAUUCCUUCCAUACCCCAUAUCACGUUUUGCCUAUUGCUAUCUAUAAAGUAAGGAGAGUAUAUGGAGUGAGUAGAAGAGGAGGCCACAGAGUAAGAAACUUACAAGAAAGCUGAAAAAAAGUGAUCAGACAUUUAGGUGGGAAAUGAGAGUUUGAAAUUCUAGGUACCAAAGGGAAGUGAGUGCUUUGAGGAGGAAUCGAUGUUUUAAGAAGGGAAACAUUGCCAUUCAUUCACAUGUAUCUCAAGCCCCUGGAACAAUGCCUGGUACACAGUAGGCACUCUGUUAAUAUUGGUAGAAUGAAGUCUUGAAGAAAUCAAAUAAGAUAAAGGACCCAAAAAUGUCUACAAAUGACCAUUUGUGACCAUGGCUUCAGAGCCGUGAAAGGGAUGUAAGCCAGAUUGCAAUGAGGUGCUUUCAUGGUUGAACAUACAACUGAGUUAGAGUUGGCAUAUGUAUGCCCAUGACUUGGCCUCCCGAGGACACUAGAAUAGAGACCUGAAGUGAUCUGUUAGCACAGAAUGAUGGCACAGAGAGUUAUAGAUUUGUAAGGAGAGUUUUGUUUUUUUUUUUGAGACGGAGUUUUGCUCAUGUUACCCAGGCUGGAGUGCAAUGGCCUGAUCUCGGCUCACCACAACAUCCACCUCCUGGGUUCAGGCAAUUCUCCUGCCUCAGCCUCCUGAGUAGCUGGGAUUACAGGCACACGCCACCAUACCCAGCUAAUUUUUUGUAUUUUUAGUAGAGACGGGGUUUCACCAUGUUGACCAGGAUGGUCUUGAUCUGUUGACCUCGUGAUCCACCCGCCUUGGCCUCCCAAAGUGCUGGGAUUACAGGCGUGAGCCACCAUGCCUGGCCAAGAGUGUUUUUAUUAAGCUAUGUUAGCCUAGUAAAUUUUCUUUUUCUGCCAUUGAGGAAUCUGAAGCUUACAUGUUGCUGGAGAAAUUCUAGCCAGCUUCUUUAUUCAUUUAUUUAUACUAUGCAUUAGAAUGGUUUUCUAGCUUUUUAAAUAGCUGUGGAACCUUGUGUUCACUGAGUUUUUACAUCAAGGCCUGCUGGGUAAAUCCAGUAAAAGAACUGGUCUAGUUGCAGUGAUGGCUGAUACUCAGCACAUAUACUCUCAAACUCUUGGCCCCCAGGAUUCCAUGGGGCACCAGAAAAUUCCCAGCAUCCCUCAGAUGCUAGUUUAAAACUACUACUGGCAAAGUGGUGCACACCUGUAGUCCCAGCUACUUGGGAGGCUGAGGUGGGAGGAUUACUUGAAUUCAGGAGUUUGAAUCCAGCCUGGACAACAUAGUGAGACCCUGUCUAUGGAAUAAAAAAAAAGGAAAGAAAAGAAAAACCCACUGGCCUGAGGUAACUGAUGAUGGAAGCUCACGUAGACUUUAAGAAGCCCUUCAGUUUUCAUUAGCAGUGAAGAGAUGGCAGUCAUCAAGAUAGGUGGCCUUUCUUGUCCUGGGUUUAUAUUGUCAUCCUGAUUUAAACCAUAGAUUUUAGGUUUUUCCUUGCUUUUGGAUUUUUUUUUUCCUCAAGGGCCCCAGCUUUUAGGGAUUAUAUUUUGUAUUUUACACACCAUUUAGCUUGCCCUGUGUCUGUAAAGGCAGCAUAUUUGAAUAUCUGAGGUUUAGAUUAGAUUGCAUUUCACAGAUUGGUUGAAUAUUGGAGUUUCUCUGUUUUGCUGUUUCUUGGUUUCAUUUCAUUUUAAGUUUAAGAUCUGCUGUUUCUUUGGAGGAGAACAAGGUGUGCUAACAGUUACAGCAGCCAGCUAGGUUGGCUUGAGAGGAGAAGGACUGAAAAGCAGAGGUAGUCUCCGAGGUCAAGGUGCCAGGAUGUUGGUUAUUUUCUUAAAAACCAACCCACCAAAAGAAAACCACCAUUCAGACUGUUCUACAGCAGUCUGUCUUUUUGUGGUUCUUACAGGCUAGCUUAAAUUUUGGGUAGAGAGAUGCUUAUCACAUUGCCAUAUAUCCAUUUCUUUUCCAGAUGGAUAGUAAGAAUAUUUGAAGUAAGUCCAUUUGAACCAUGGACAACAAGGGAUAAAGUGGAGCAAGCAAGUGUAUGUGUGGAAAGCAUCCACCUGGGCAGACAAGAAGUUAGACUGAUUUUGGUUUGCCUGCUUGUUUCCCUGCUCUUGUCUGUUUGCCGUUCUUGCUGUUUGUGGUCAACCCCUCUGCUAGCACUGAAACUCAUCCAGCUGCCCUACUCCAGGGGGCGGCUCCUCCACACCUGCCCAUCAUUAACAAUGUUUCUUUCUCUGCUGGAUCAUUCCCAUCAACACGCAAAAAUGCCUAAUAUCUCCUCUGCCAAAGCCUCUGUUCCUCCCAUCACCCUUCUAGCUACUUUGCUGUUGUGUCCCUUCACAUCCCAACACCUCCUCACAUCCUGAUGAAACUGUUGCCAGUUUUCUCAUCCUUUCCUUAACCUAUUUCAGUCAGACUUUUAUUCCCAUUUGUCUCCUAAACCUCUUUUCAAGGCACCCAGUGUCCGUGCUGCCACACCCAGUAGUCAGUUCUCAGACCUCAUCUCAUGUUCCUGUGCAUUUGCUGCUAGGGAAGAUGCAAAAUAAAGUGGUAAUACUAUACCAAAUACUAUACCAUAUCUACCUUUGAAGACCUAUGGACCAUAUAUUGACAAGCAGCAGCCAGAUUGUUCCCUGAAUGCUACCUAAAAGCUAAAGUGUAGAGAAUAUGAGAAACAGUGCUUAGGGAACAUGUGGAAGUCAGCAGCUCUCAUACUUUCUUCAGACCGGCUGUGUCUGGAGAGCUGAGGCCAUUUCUGUGAUGUCCCUUCUGUGGUUUUGGAAGAUCAGGCAGGAUAACUGGUGGUCAGCCACUUCAGUUUAUCUCACUCUAAAGUGUCUCUUACAUUAAUAAUGGAGAACAUGCUGAUACAGUGGGAAGCGUGGGUUUUGAAUUUGGUUUGCAAACUGGCUUAUAGAACUUUGCUAAUGUGCCACAUUUUCCCAAUCCAGUCUAUCAUCGAUGGGCAUUUGGGUUGGUUCCAGGUCUUUGCUAAUGUAAACAGUGCUGCAAUGAACAUUGGUGUGCAUGUGUCCUUAUAGUAGAACGAGUUACAGUCCUUUGGAUAUAUACCCAGUAAUGGGAUUGCUGGGUCAAUUGGAAUUUCUAUUUCUAAGGCCUUGAGGAAUUGAAAAAAAGAAAAAAGAAAAAAAAAAAGAACUCUGGUAAAAGAAUUGCUGACUUUCAGGUGGGUAGGAUGAGGGAUUGAUGCUGCUGUAUGUGCAGAUGGAUUCCAUUAUGUGCUUUUGAAUAAUCCGAGAUCUCUGCAAAUUUUACAGUUCAUUGUCUUUUCCUAAAAACAAGAUGGGUUUAGUUUUCUAGCUCUACAGUGAACAUUAGUCAACCCAGGUUGAGUAUAGCUAGAGCAAAAAGAGGUAAUUGGGGUUUUUUUUUAAUGGGUGAGGAACAAAUGCUGUGUUAUCUCCUAAAUUCAAAGUUAAAAUUGAGUUAGAAAAUAGGGACCUGAGAGAACUGAGGAAUGGACUAGCUCUGCUUUAGCCCUGAUUUUAUUCCUAAACCCUCCUGUUAAGCCUCCUCUGGCAAGUGUGAUGACUUGUGCUUCCCUGCCAUAGAUUUAUUUCUGUGGAAAUCUGUAUAUAGAAUGGCUCAUGUAGUGCCAACAUCCUGUGCUCGUGGCUAUGACUGGGAACCUCGAUCUGAUACUUGGUGAUCUUGCCCUUUUUUUGUCUUAAGCCCUCAUUCUUUGUCCUGCUUUUAUAGUGAUUUGCAUGAAUCGAAAAUUGCCACAUAUUCUUUGAAAGUAAUUAAGUCUCAAUAAUAGGACUUAUGCCAGCUUGAAUGUUUAAAUGCAUGCUGGGGUUUGAAUCUCUACAUUCUCUAUACUUAAUUUUAAGUCUUUAAGAGCUUGAAGACCUUAUUCUAACCUUAUUAGUUUGUACCUCCUGUUUGUUUAACAAAAUACGUUAGCAUGGGUAAUCUGUAAAUAGCAGAGGUAUAUUUCUCACAGCUCUGGAGGCUGGAAAGUUCAAGAUCAAGGCGCCAGUGGGUUUGGUGGUUGGUGAGGGCUGUUCUUUCUGCUUCAAAGAUGGUGCCUUCAGGCUGUGUCCUCAUACGGUGGACAUUGGCAGAAGGGCAAAAAGGGACUAGGGCACUCUCUUCAGCCUCUUUAUAAGAGCACCAGUCCCAUAUAUGAAAGCAAGCCCUCAUAACCUAAUCACCUCCUAAAGACCGCCCCACCUUAAUACUGUUGCAUUGGGGACUAAAUCAGCAUGAAUUUUGGAGGACACAAACAUUCAAACCAUAGCACUGACUAAGGAAACAAUUUGGCCAUCCUAAGCUAGUGGGUAUCACCCUCUCAGUGUAUGGAAAUUGCAUAUAACCAGGAACUAGGAGCUGGGCAUAAGAUCUGGGUCACUCAUAUCCAGGGGGAUUCUCUUCCUAAGGAGGGAUGAGCUGAAUCUCCAUUUAUAGGAGCUGUCCCCAUGGAGACUUGAAGCCAUACACUUCUCAGGAUUCAGGUUGCACAUUACCUGAUUGUCACAGUUGAUUUGAGCCUGCAAGACUGUAAACCCAUCCCGUUAUCAUGUUUUCAUUCCUCAUGCACGUACAUUUAUCAUUAAACCUUUGUGAUUCAGCAAAUCUAUUUACCUUCUGAUUCUAUUUUAAAUUCCUUUCAUGUUCUUCCUUGGCCCUCCUGUGUAUAUCCCUCAGCUUUGCUAGGCCUUAAGAUCAUCUCACACUCUUCAUCAUAAUAAUAAAAAUAAAUUCUGUGAUGGAAGCAUAUAUGGGAAUAUAUGUAAGAUCUCUGAGAAGAUAAAGAACAGUCUCUGAAAGGAUUAGGAAAAACUCCAUAGAAAAUGGAUUUUUAAAGCUACAACUUGAUGUUAACCUGCUGAAAUGUGUGUGGAGGAGGGUUAGGAGGAAGCAAGCAUUCAUGUGAAGAGAACAGCACAAGCAAUUGCAGUGGGUCAUGAGUGAGUGGGCGGUUAUGAGUGGGAGACAGAGCCAGUGAGUUGGGAGGGGCACAGGUGAGUUUAACCUUUACCUUGGAGGCGAUGUAGAGCAGGUGAGUUCCAUACAGAUUUGGCUUUGAAUAUGAGUUCCACUGCUUCUCAGUUAUGAGAUUGGACAAGGCACUUGACUUCUUUUUGUCAGCCUCAUUUUUCUUGUUUAUAAAAUGGAGGUGAUAGUAGUAACUACAUGAUGGGAUUGUAUUGAGAAAUUAAACGAGAUCAUGCAUGUAAACUGCUGGCUGAGCCCUGCGCACCAAAGAACUAAGUAAAUCUGAGCCAUUAUCAUUUAAGUAGGGAGCAUCAUGCCUGACUGAGUCCAUACAUUUGUUUCUUGACUUCAAAUAGCUGCCAUUCCUGAGAGGGAGGGAUUCCUAUUUUCUAAAUGAUGGAAACAGGGACUUACAGAAGGUAAAUUGCCACUUUCCGACCUGGAUCUAUCUGGCUACAAAACUGAUACCUUGUUCCAGGAAGGAUUUAAGGAUGCUCAGGAGGAAGACAUUCCCAGAGUUACACUCCAGAAGAUCAAGGAGUGAAUGGGAGAUGUAGUGGAAUGGAGGGCAUAUUUGAAGAAACCUUUCCUGUGAAGGAAAAUCCAAGACAGAAUGAUGUAAGGAGACACUUUAACUUGAAAAGAUUCUUGUGAGAGAAGGAAAGGGGCUUUUGCAAUAGAGAGAGACUAGAACAAAGUUGGAACCCAACUUCAUGGAAGCAGAGGAUGGUGGGGUUUUCAAGGGCUGAGAUAGUGUAAAAGUACUGGGGACAAGAGGCCAUCUGGAUCCCAUGAUGGCCAGGGUGAGGGGGUUCAUGGGUCAUCUGUCUUUGCUGAUUGGCUUUAUCCAAAGGAAGAGUAAACAUCCUUAGGAAGUAGUCCUGCAGCGUGGAGCAAGAUGCCCACCAAAGUUAGGCACAUCCCACAGAACAUGGAAGAAAGGGGUGCUAUUUCCUUUUGUCAUGACAUUUCAGAGAAUGGUUCCCCUGGGUCCUUGAGAAAGGCAUUCCUGGGUUGUAAGAAGGCUAAGGAGGCCGGGCACAGUGUCUCAAGCCUUUAAUCCCAGUACUUCGGGAGGCCGAGGCAGGUGGAUCACGAGGUCAAGAGAUCAAGACCAUCCUGGUCAACAAGGUGAAAUCCCAUCUUAUUAAAAAUACAAAAAUUAACUGGGCAUGGUGGCGUGUGCCUGUAAUCCCAGCUACUCAGGAGGCUGAGGCAGGAGAAUUGCCUGAACUCAGGAGGCGGAGGUUGCAGUGAGAUGAGAUCGCUCCACUGCACUCCAGCCUGGGUAACAAGAGCGAAACUCCAUCUCAAAAAAAAAAAAAAAAACCAAGAAGGCUAAGGAAAGAUGUAUGUCUCAAAGGGGAACAGAAAUAAUUUGUAAUUUUAAGUUUUCUGAACAAAAUGCUCUGAGGGAAGUUGGGGUCUAAUGUUAGUGAUGUAGUUUGGAAGCCCUCACCCAAAUCUCAUGUUGAAAUGUCAUCUCCAGUGUUGGAGUUGGGGCUUAGUGGGAUGUGAUUGGAUCCUGGGGUAGAUUUCUCAUGAAUGGUUUAGUCCAUCUUCUUGGUACAAUCCUCAAGAUAGUGAGUUCUAGCAAGAUCUCAUCAUUUAAAAGUGUUAGGCACCUCUCCUCACCCCUUGCUCCUACUCCUGCUAUGUGAGAUGCUUGCUCCCCUUUCACCUAUUGCCAUGACUAGAAGCUUCCUGAAGCCUCCCCAGAAGCAGAUGCCCAUGUUAUGCUUCCUGUACAGCCUGAAGAACUAUGAGCCAAUUAAACUUUUUUUCUUUAUAAGUUACCUAAGCUCAGAUUUUUUUUAUAGCAAUACAAGAAUGGCCUAAUAGAGUUAGGAAGAAGCCUGUCCGAAGUACAGUCAGGCUGAGGGGAGCUUUAAGGCCAUCUUGAUGGGGGGAAGUCUUUUAGUACCCUAAUGCAAGCAGAUGUUGGCAGAGAGGGAGAGCAUAACUUGUGGUGCUUGGGGUGCCUGGCCCUAGAGGGAACAGAAGGGCCAGAAUCCAGAGCACAAGUGGGAUUGUAUGGGCUGACAAGUAAAAGUAUAUGAUAGCAAUAGUGUAUGAUAGCAUGUGUGUAAGUCCAUUCUGUAUUGCCACAAAAGAAUACCUGAAGUUGGGUAAUUAAUAAAGGGGUUUAUUUGGCUCACUGUUUUGCAUCCUCUACAAGCAUGGCACUAGUGUCUGCUUGGCUUCUGGUGAGGCCUCAAGAAGCUUUUACUCAUGGCAGAAGGAAAGGGGAGCCAGUGUGUCACAUGGCAAGAGAAAGAGCAAGAAGUGGGGAUGGUGCCAGGCUCCUUUUAACAACCAGAUCUUACAUGAAACUCGUUACCACUGGUAAGGCACAAAGCCAUUCGUGAGGCAUCCUCACCCAUGGCCCAAACACCUCCAAGCAGGCCCCACUUCUAACAUUAGGGAUCACAUUUCCCAUGAGAUUUGGAGGGGACACACAUUGAAACUAUAUCAGCAUAUUAAACAAAACCAUUCCUCAUGUGGUCAAAGUACAAACUAUUUUUUGUUUUUGUCUUUUUUUGUUGUUAUUUUGUGAUGGCGUCUUGUUAUAUUUUGCCCAGGCUGGAGUGCAGUGACAUGAUCUCAGCCUCUGCCUCCCAGGUUCCAGCGAUUCUCCUGUCUCAGCCUCCCAAGUAGCUGGGAUUACAAGCAUGUGCCACCGCGCCCAGCUAAUUUUUGUAUUUUUAGUAGAGACGGGGUUUCACCAUGUUGGCCAGGCUGGUCUUGAACUCCUGACCUCAGGUGAUCUGCCUGGCUCGGCCUCCCAAAGUGCUUGGAUUACAGGCAUGAGCCACCGCACCUGGCCAGGACUUUAUUUUUUAUCACUAAGCUUUCCUUUAAAAUCUCUGUGCUAGGCCAGGUGCUGUGGCUCACGCCUAUAAUCCCAGCACUUUGGGAGGCUGCGGUGCAAGGAUAACUUGAGCCCAGGAGUUUGAGACCAGCCUGGGCAACAUAGUGAAACCCCAUCUCUUUAAAAAAAUGAAAUAAAAUCUCUCUAUGAGAAUAUAAGGCACUAGAAGCAGGAAUUUUUAUCUGUCAUGUUCACUGCUAUGUCCCCAACACCUAAAACAGUGCCAGGCAUCUGUUGAAUAAAUGAAUGAAUGAGGUGGGAAGUCUUUCCUUACACUUAGAUGAAAACUCCAUCAUUCCCCAAAUUGUCUGGUCUUGUUCAGGUAAUUAUUUCAAUUCUAUAAUAAAAUCUUAAGUUAUAAUAUGCUCAGUUUGAUAAUUAGGAUGCCCAGUGUUGUAUAAUAAUUAAAGCCUUAAAUUUCCUUUCUCCCCUACGGCUGGGGUCAAAGAAGACCAUGUGGCUGGCUGCUUUUCUGUAUUUUCAUUUAUCUCCACCCCCAGUUUACCAGCAGUGGCUAUCCUCUCUCCCAGACUGGGCCAGGGGUCAGAAGGGUAGUCUUACAAGGCAAGGGUCUUUGCUGGCAGAUGUUCUGGGCCUUCUUGACAGCAGGUGUUUAAAGCUGAAUCGGGUUGUAGUUUCAGGAAAGUGAUGUUUUGGGAUGGUAACUGAAGUAGAUGUUGAAGAUAAAGUAUCAUAUUAAUAAAACAUUUCCCAUUAGCACCUUGGCACAAAUUAAAACUAGCUGUACCUCACUGAUAAGGACCUGGAUGGUCCAGUAAUGAUGAAUGAUUUAUCGGGAGUAGGGGGUGCAGGGGGAAUUGGGUGGAAGCAGUAGUAACAAAUUCAAAUUAAGGAGUAGUCAUAAGGUAAUUAUUAUCUAGUCUCACCUCCACAUUUUAUAAUUGAAGAAAUCGAAUAAAACAAGAGGAGAAGUAACAGCUUUAUAGCAUGUGGUUGGGGAAAAACAUAUCUUUUCUGGGGCUAGACAGUCCAUAAAUAGGAGUUGGAAAUGGAAGUGUAGGGGAAAAUUCCAUUGUAGUUCAGUGGAAAACUGCAUUGUCUGGAGGCUAGACUCUGGACUAAGACAUUUCUUUCCUGGCUGUCUGAUUUUGAUUCUAUGGGAGCUAUCUAAAACUCUGUAAGCUGUAGGUAACUGAUAGCAGAGCAAAGUAAUUCUUGUCCAUAGAUGUGUAAACCAUGUCUUAGUGCAGAGUCAGCCUACUUCCCUUCCCCAGUUUUGCUUCUAUUAGCACAUUUAUUUCAGUAAUUUUGAUCUUUGGAUUCUACUUGGACAUUCCUCACUAAAAAAUUAAAUAAAAUUUUUGGCAUGUGCUCUUCUUUUGCA